UUAAAUUAACUUAGUGGCGGACGGGCGAGUAACACGUGAGCAACCUGCCUCUUACAGGGGAAUAACAACGGGAAACCGUUGCUAAUACCGCAUAACAUGUUGAAAGGGCAUCCUUUUAACAUCAAAGGAGCAAUCCGGUAAGAGAUGGGCUCGCGUCCGAUUAGCUAGUUGGUAGGGUAACGGCCUACCAAGGCGACGAUCGGUAGCCGGACUGAGAGGUCGAACGGCCGCAUUGGGACUGAGACACGGCCCAGACUCCUACGGGAGGCAGCAGC
rnacentral:rRNA from 1 species